rnacentral:rRNA from 1 species
CAUGACGAACGCUGGCGGCGUGCCUAAUACAUGCAAGUCGAACGAACUCUGGUAUUGAUUGGUGCUUGCAUCAUGAUUUACAUUUGAGUGAGUGGCGAACUGGUGAGUAACACGUGGGAAACCUGCCCAGAAGCGGGGGAUAACACCUGGAAACAGAUGCUAAUACCGCAUAACAACUUGGACCGCAUGGUCCGAGCUUGAAAGAUGGCUUCGGCUAUCACUUUUGGAUGGUCCCGCGGCGUAUUAGCUAGAUGGUGGGGUAACGGCUCACCAUGGCAAUGAUACGUAGCCGACCUGAGAGGGUAAUCGGCCACAUUGGGACUGAGACACGGCCCAAACUCCUACGGGAGGCAGCAGUAGGGAAUCUUCCACAAUGGACGAAAGUCUGAUGGAGCAACGCCGCGUGAGUGAAGAAGGGUUUCGGCUCGUAAAACUCUGUUGUUAAAGAAGAACAUAUCUGAGAGUAACUGUUCAGGUAUUGACGGUAUUUAACCAGAAAGCCACGGCUAACUACGUGCCAGCAGCCGCGGUAAUACGUAGGUGGCAAGCGUUGUCCGGAUUUAUUGGGCGUAAAGCGAGCGCAGGCGGUUUUUUAAGUCUGAUGUGAAAGCCUUCGGCUCAACCGAAGAAGUGCAUCGGAAACUGGGAAACUUGAGUGCAGAAGAGGACAGUGGAACUCCAUGUGUAGCGGUGAAAUGCGUAGAUAUAUGGAAGAACACCAGUGGCGAAGGCGGCUGUCUGGUCUGUAACUGACGCUGAGGCUCGAAAGUAUGGGUAGCAAACAGGAUUAGAUACCCUGGUAGUCCAUACCGUAAACGAUGAAUGCUAAGUGUUGGAGGGUUUCCGCCCUUCAGUGCUGCAGCUAACGCAUUUAGCAUUCCGCCUGGGGAGUACGGCCGCAAGGCUGAAACUCAAAAGGAAUUGACGGGGGCCCGCACAAGCGGUGGAGCAUGUGGUUUAAUUCGAAGCUACGCGAAGAACCUUACCAGGUCUUGACAUACUAUGCAAAUCUAAGAGAUUAGACGUUCCCUUCGGGGACAUGGAUACAGGUGGUGCAUGGUUGUCGUCAGCUCGUGUCGUGAGAUGUUGGGUUAAGUCCCGCAACGAGCGCAACCCUUAUUAUCAGUUGCCAGCAUUAAGUUGGGCACUCUGGUGAGACUGCCGGUGACAAACCGGAGGAAGGUGGGGAUGACGUCAAAUCAUCAUGCCCCUUAUGACCUGGGCUACACACGUGCUACAAUGGAUGGUACAACGAGUUGCGAACUCGCGAGAGUAAGCUAAUCUCUUAAAGCCAUUCUCAGUUCGGAUUGUAGGCUGCAACUCGCCUACAUGAAGUCGGAAUCGCUAGUAAUCGCGGAUCAGCAUGCCGCGGUGAAUACGUUCCCGGGCCUUGUACACACCGCCCGUCACACCAUGAGAGUUUGUAACACCCAAAGUCGGUGGGGUAACCUUUUAGGAACCAGCCGCCUAAGGUGGGACAG